GCCACCGUUGCAUUACAUUAUCUAGAUGGACAAGUACAUGACUCUUCCAGUCCUGUUUUCUCUGCUUCUUCUCGUAUGCCUUGCAACUACCACACAAUGUAAGCGCUGCUCGAUACACAACUCUAAUUUCGGUAAUCUGUCUUUAAAAUAUGUCCAUGCACAUGCUAAUUAUACUCGUGUAAUGAUUUAAUUUUCUAUUUAUGCUGGAAGUAGAUAUUUUGUUAGUGCAUGACAUGUUUUUUUCUAUUCUUGUGCCAUCUGGUGCUUCCUAGUUAAUCAACGUGAGUCAUACUAAUGUCAAUCGUUUGUCUUUAAAUUUUUCUAUAGGUCAAAUCACCGAAGGCAUGCAUAAUGAUAAGAUCAAUUUUCCGCACGGGUUGUGCGUCCAUAGAGAAAAUAACUACUAUUGUUGCCUUGUGACGAGUAUGUGCUAUUACCCACAAGAGUUAUGCGUUCGAAUGUGCCAAAGUGCACUCCUAUCAAAAUUGAACUUUUGUUCGAAUAAGCAAUAUGUGAUUGGGAAGCCAUAUAUAUGUAAAGGGAGAAGUCUAAAAAAAACCUUGAAUUCGUCCUCAAAGUCUGAAAACGACCCUCACCUGUGAAUCCAUGAAUUCGUCACCCUGUCCUUUCUAAUCCCAGCUUAUCCUGGCUGAUUUCUUUGAGAAGCUCGUUUGUGCACCGGGUUUGCUGAUGUGGCAUGGAUUAUGGUUUAAUCAGACGCUAAGUUGGACUGUCUCUGGACCCCUUCAGAUGUUCAUUAAGUAGCGGCGGGGGUUGCAAAUAGAGAAGAACUGCCGGUGGGGAGAGAGAGACUAGGGUUCGCGGCGGCGGC
rnacentral:lncRNA from 1 species